rnacentral:misc_RNA from 1 species
CGUAUCUUAGUUUAUUUUUAUGAUUUAUCGUAGUUUAUCAUUAUCAUCAAUUAAUACUAUUUGUCGUUUUAGUAUAUUUUUAUAUUUAUUGCUAUUAUUUCGAUAGUCAAUUACAACAGUGUUCCAAUUUACUUUUCCCGCCGUUCCUUUUCUUUGAUACUUUUAAAGGAUUUAUAAUUUAAAUGAAAUGAAUGGCCGGAUGUCUUUGGUGGAACAGAAAAGGCUUCAAUGGGCAAAAGAAAGAGAAGAAAUGGCAAGACUAUCGUGCGCAUCGUGGGGAACGACCGUCAAACCAGUGGUGAAUGUAAUUCACGAUGCUGUGAGGUCAAGAAUGUCGACACUUGCGGGGGUUCCAGCACUGAGACGCGGUUGCGGAUUAGGUGUUGAUAGCACAAAGAGUGUCGGUAGGGUUGCGGGGGAGACGCACCUUCUUCGGGCUAGUCUGAUCAGUUUGCAGGAUACUACGGAUGUUAAUGACCGUGGGCCAAAUGGUCCUAUCCUCAGACAGAGAAGCCCCAGUCUUCCGCCAAUUUAUACGAGAGAAUCCGGUGGCUCGCUGCAGCAUACGUCCAAGCAGGUUGAAGUGGAUCAAGUAGGGUUGCGCUAUCAAGGCCCAGAUCAUACUCAGUUGAACCACCACAACAGCUACCCAUUCCACAACCAUAUUCGAAGGAAGCGAUACGGUGAUUCGCCUCGCGAAGAACUCGGGGGUGAAACAUCGGGAUACGCGAGCGACUCCGCGGAGGUGCCGCUUCCAGCGGUUGCAGAUUUACUUCCCAAUUGCAAACCACCCGGAAGUGCGAUGUCGGAAAACAAUCUGCAAAAUCCAACGAAUUACAACUGCUAUGUAACGCCUGAGAGCUCUCUCCCACCCUCGAGGAGAUUGUCUGCAGUGCGAGGCUGUACCGAGCUGAGACCACGAUGGGGCAGCCUAUGGGGACAAGAAUUGAUAAGGGGAGAUCCACCGCCACCCUCAUGGCUUGAAAGAGGUCUUUCACGAAUAGACCAUACCAGCCAGGUGCUGGUAAUAAAUCAUGAAAGUGCAAGUAGCCCUGAUAGCUCCACAACUAGUUCAGCCGGAUCAGAUUCUAACAAAACCUAUCUUCGAGGACAAAAUGUCCCCUUGGAUGAUGGUGUGUUACAAGAGCGUGAAGUUAAGAGACAGAAGGCCUUAGAAUUGCAAAAUGCCAUCAAGCACCAGCUUGAAGAACGAGAUCGACAAAGAAAGGAGGAAAAACAGCAGAGGUUGAUGGAGGAACAAGCCGAAGAAGAAAGAAUCAAACGAGAGAGAGACAAAGAGAAACAAAGAUUUGAAGAAGAACAGAGGAAAUUCAAGGAGAAAGAAGACACCGAGCACAAAAAAGCAGAGGCUAUGCGUCAGGUGCUUGAGGCAGCCGAACGUUUGGCUAAAGAAGAGAAGAAGUACCGUAGAAAACACAACAAUAUGUUGAAUCUUGGAAAGGAUGAAAAUAAUAUAAAUGUAGAUGCCGCUGAACCUGCAAUGCAAUCAGAAAUAUGUCCAAACCAGAUCUCUGAGAAAAAAUUUGACCAUUCACCUGUCACAGAGAAUACACAAUCAGUAAAUGAUGGAUACUAUCUUAAACGAGAGAAUAAAGAACUUAGUCAUUCUUCGGAGUAUAUUUCUGGCAAGGAAAAUAGCUUGUAUAACAAUAUCCAAGAACCGAAAGUAAACACAAUACAACUUCCAGUUAGCUCAGAAAUUGCCAUUGUACUAAGUGGCCGGCUACAAGAUCCAGAAAUUUUGAAUGCUUCAAAUUUACAAGUUAAUCUAGUCGUUUCACCAACCCCUACCAAGUCUGAAAGUGUGCCGAAUUUGUUUAGCGUCAGUAACACUCCUCUUUCAAACGUCAUCAGCCCUGCUACCAUAUCACAUGCAAGUCAGCAUCGAUAUACUAAAACAACGGAUACAAGACUGCUGACACCCAGCAAAUAUAGGACAACUAUCGCCAGAGAAUUUGGCACCCAAACGGAUUUAGAAGACAUGCAUAAUAAUGCUUGUCCAUAUAAGGAAAUGUCAAUGAAGGAACGCAAAGAAUCAUUGAAUACUAACCGGAGAGAGAUUGAAAAAUCUACUAAUACUGUUCUUACUGAAGAGCUAUCUAUGAAGACUUUGUCUAGAUCCAAAGCUCAAUCACGCUCAUCUCUUGAAGCCAGACCACGUUGGAAUGCUAAUCGAUUCUAUCAGACCGGGUACUCGUUAUCGGACUCAGAGUGAAAAAGAUCCACACUACCAAAGACGCUUGAGAUUGAGAAGACGCCAACUUGAUUCAAGUGAUGAUGGCUCUAGAUCUCCAUCCCUUGAGCGGAGAAAACCAACCAACUUAAAAUCAAAAAAUCGUAACACAAUGAGGCGAACUAUCAAACUGGAUAGUUAUGAUGCAGAUCUGUCUAUGGAUAGUCUUAAUUCCAUAGUACCUUUAAAAGUAGA